rnacentral:rRNA from 1 species
GGGUUGUGAGGUUAAGCGACUAAGCGUACACGGUGGAUGCCCUGGCAGUCAGAGGCGAUGAAGGACGUGCUAAUCUGCGAUAAGCGCCGGUAAGGUGAUAUGAACCGUUAUAACCGGCGAUUUCCGAAUGGGGAAACCCAGUGUGAUUCGUCACACUAUCAUUAACUGAAUCCAUAGGUUAAUGAGGCGAACCGGGGGAACUGAAACAUCUAAGUACCCCGAGGAAAAGAAAUCAACCGAGAUUCCCCCAGUAGCGGCGAGCGAACGGGGAGGAGCCCAGAGCCUGAAUCAGCAUGUGUGUUAGUGGAAGCGUCUGGAAAGGCGCGCGAUACAGGGUGACAGCCCCGUACACAAAAGCGCAUGUGCUGUGAGCUCGAUGAGUAGGGCGGGACACGUGGUAUCCUGUCUGAAUAUGGGGGGACCAUCCUCCAAGGCUAAAUACUCCUGACUGACCGAUAGUGAACCAGUACCGUGAGGGAAAGGCGAAAAGAACCCCGGCGAGGGGAGUGAAAAAGAACCUGAAACCGUGUACGUACAAGCAGUGGGAGCACCCUUCGGGGUGUGACUGCGUACCUUUUGUAUAAUGGGUCAGCGACUUAUAUUCUGUAGCAAGGUUAACCGUAUAGGGGAGCCGGAGGGAAACCGAGUCUUAACCGGGCGUUAAGUUGCAGGGUAUAGACCCGAAACCCGGUGAUCUAGCCAUGGGCAGGUUGAAGGUUGGGUAACACUAACUGGAGGACCGAACCGACUAAUGUUGAAAAAUUAGCGGAUGACCUGUGGCUGGGGGUGAAAGGCCAAUCAAACCGGGAGAUAGCUGGUUCUCCCCGAAAGCUAUUUAGGUAGCGCCUCGUGAAUUCAUCUCCGGGGGUAGAGCACUGUUUCGGCUAGGGGGCCAUCCCGGCUUACCAACCCGAUGCAAACUGCGAAUACCGGAGAAUGUUAUCACGGGAGACACACGGCGGGUGCUAACGUCCGUCGUGAAGAGGGAAACAACCCAGACCGCCAGCUAAGGUCCCAAAGUCAUGGUUAAGUGGGAAACGAUGUGGGAAGGCCCAGACAGCCAGGAUGUUGGCUUAGAAGCAGCCAUCAUUUAAAGAAAGCGUAAUAGCUCACUGGUCGAGUCGGCCUGCGCGGAAGAUGUAACGGGGCUAAACCAUGCACCGAAGCUGCGGCAGCGAACGUAUCACCCAAGACAACUUUACGGAGUUGACGAUUGACGGAGCGAAGCGACGUCAAAGCGUUCAUUAAAGUCGAGUUGGCUUAGGGAUACGUUCGUUGGGUAGGGGAGCGUUCUGUAAGCCUGUGAAGGUGUGUCGUGAGGCAUGCUGGAGGUAUCAGAAGUGCGAAUGCUGACAUAAGUAACGAUAAAGCGGGUGAAAAGCCCGCUCGCCGGAAGACCAAGGGUUCCUGUCCAACGUUAAUCGGGGCAGGGUGAGUCGACCCCUAAGGCGAGGCCGAAAGGCGUAGUCGAUGGGAAACGGGUUAAUAUUCCCGUACUUGGUGUUACUGCGAAGGGGGGACGGAGAAGGCUAUGUUGGCCGGGCGACGGUUGUCCCGGUUUAAGCGUGUAGGUGUGUGUUCCAGGUAAAUCCGGUUCACUUUAACACUGAGGCGUGACGACGAGGCACUACGGUGCUGAAGCAACAAAUGCCCUGCUUCCAGGAAAAGCCUCUAAGCAUCAGGUAACACGAAAUCGUACCCCAAACCGACACAGGUGGUCAGGUAGAGAAUACCAAGGCGCUUGAGAGAACUCGGGUGAAGGAACUAGGCAAAAUGGUGCCGUAACUUCGGGAGAAGGCACGCUGACACGUAGGUGAAGUGAUUUACUCACGGAGCUGAAGUCAGUCGAAGAUACCAGCUGGCUGCAACUGUUUAUUAAAAACACAGCACUGUGCAAACACGAAAGUGGACGUAUACGGUGUGACGCCUGCCCGGUGCCGGAAGGUUAAUUGAUGGGGUCAGCGCAAGCGAAGCUCCUGAUCGAAGCCCCGGUAAACGGCGGCCGUAACUAUAACGGUCCUAAGGUAGCGAAAUUCCUUGUCGGGUAAGUUCCGACCUGCACGAAUGGCGUAAUGAUGGCCAGGCUGUCUCCACCCGAGACUCAGUGAAAUUGAACUCGCUGUGAAGAUGCAGUGUACCCGCGGCAAGACGGAAAGACCCCGUGAACCUUUACUAUAGCUUGACACUGAACAUUGAGCCUUGAUGUGUAGGAUAGGUGGGAGGCUUUGAAGUGUGGACGCCAGUCUGCAUGGAGCCGACCUUGAAAUACCACCCUUUAAUGUUUGAUGUUCUAACGUGGACCCGUAAUCCGGGUUGCGGACAGUGUCUGGUGGGUAGUUUGACUGGGGCGGUCUCCUCCUAAAGAGUAACGGAGGAGCACGAAGGUUGGCUAAUCCUGGUCGGACAUCAGGAGGUUAGUGCAAUGGCAUAAGCCAGCUUGACUGCGAGCGUGACGGCGCGAGCAGGUGCGAAAGCAGGUCAUAGUGAUCCGGUGGUUCUGAAUGGAAGGGCCAUCGCUCAACGGAUAAAAGGUACUCCGGGGAUAACAGGCUGAUACCGCCCAAGAGUUCAUAUCGACGGCGGUGUUUGGCACCUCGAUGUCGGCUCAUCACAUCCUGGGGCUGAAGUAGGUCCCAAGGGUAUGGCUGUUCGCCAUUUAAAGUGGUACGCGAGCUGGGUUUAGAACGUCGUGAGACAGUUCGGUCCCUAUCUGCCGUGGGCGCUGGAGAACUGAGGGGGGCUGCUCCUAGUACGAGAGGACCGGAGUGGACGCAUCACUGGUGUUCGGGUUGUCAUGCCAAUGGCACUGCCCGGUAGCUAAAUGCGGAAGAGAUAAGUGCUGAAAGCAUCUAAGCACGAAACUUGCCCCGAGAUGAGUUCUCCCUGAGACUUUAGGUCUCCUGAAGGAACGUUGAAGACGACGACGUUGAUAGGCCGGGUGUGUAAGCGCAGCGAUGCGUUGAGCUAACCGGUACUAAUGAACCGUGAGGCUUAACCUUACAACGCCGAAG